UACAGAGGUCUCAAGCGUUGUUCGGAUUCAUUGGGCGUAAAGGGUGCGUAGGUGGUUAGGUAAGUCGGAUGUGAAAUCCCGGGGCUCAACCCUGGAACUGCAUUCGAUACUGCCUGACUUGAGUACUGGAGAGGAGAUUGGAAUUUACGGUGAGCAGUGAAAUGCGUAGAUAUCGUAAGGAAGACCAGUGGCGAAGGCGGAUCUCUGGACAGUUACUGACACUGAGGCACGAAGGCCAGGGGAGCAAACGGG
rnacentral:rRNA from 1 species